CGGGGCGUAGCGCAGCCUGGUAGCGUACUUGCAUGGGGUGCAAGGGGUCGUGAGUUCGAAUCUCACCGCUCCGA
rnacentral:tRNA from 1 species